UCCUCUUUCAGCUCAUAUAAGGUAAAACGAAGAAAGGGGCUUUCUAGCUGGGGAGACAACAAGAAGAAGUUUGGGGGGAAGGGGGCUCAGGUUAGCAGCUGUUUAAAAAUGCGCUGGUGGAAGCUUUGGGGUCCCAGUGGCAGUUAUAGUUUGAAGAGAAGGGAUGACCUCCUUUGCCAUCCCACUCCAAAGCCCCCCUCCUCCCCCACUCUCCUGCUGAAUGCCAGAUGCAGCCCAUCCCUGCUGGGUGGGACCAGGAUGGAGCUAAGGCCAUGACCUUGACCACAGAGCUCUACCAUUCAAUGUCCACUGUCAAUUAAUUGGGAUGAAAGUGAAGAAAUCCUUGUAGUCUUGGCAUUGCUGUGUGGCAUCUUCAGGUAUGUGUAUAUCUAGAUCUAUAUCUGGUUUCCUUUAAGAUUCAAUUCAAACCAAGAGACCUCUUCUUCCUUUACCUCUCAGAUUAUUUCCUAUUUAUGCUGUGCAUAUCUUGUAUGUAAAUUACAGUUUUCUAUCCCAUUAGAAAGUAUGCUCUUUGAGAGCAUUGUAUUUUUGCCCCUCUUCAUAUCUACAGCAAUUAGCAUAAUGUCUGACACAUGGUAAGUGCUUAAUAAAUGCUUGUUAAUAGAUUGACUGACUGACUCUUAGUAUACUUGGACAAAGGUCGCAUAUCAGGCCUUGUAUAUGUGUGAUUAUAUAUAUGCAUGCUAGCAUGCACAUACGUUCCAACACACAUGUGAAGGAUGAAUCUCUGCACAUGUGUGACCCAGCUGCAGAGACUUCUUCUUUGUUCCUUCAUGCAAUUGCAGAAAAUGAGUCAAAGUUCUUCUAAACUGAAAGUAUCAUGAAUUCAGGGGAAAGAGACCACAAUGCCGUUCCCCAAGAACUGUGUCUAGACAGACUAGGUCCUUGCACAUAGCUGGAACCAAGAAGGGGGUGAUUCAGCUCCCAACUUCCUCUCAUCAGUAGAUGAUGAUUCAUUUACUGUAGAUGAUUAAGGUUUAUUUGUAUUUUUAUUUUUUUUAAACCUUGGCUUGCAAAAGAGUUUUGUUAGCUGCAAUAGUUUGAAGUUGGGAAAGUUUUCUUCAAUGCAUACUUGGCUCUUCCCCAAUCUAGAAUCACAGAAUGUCAACUCUAGAAAGGAACUUAGAAAACAGAGGAUCAACUUUGAAGAAAGAAAUUUGGAAGGUUUGAAGGGAAAAAACAAUUUGCCCCAAGUCUCAUAGCAAGUCAUUGAUAGGGCAUGAAUUUCAACCCAAGUCUUUUAAUUGUUGGUCCAUAGCUUGCUGUGCUAUCAAAGUUUUGUCUUCUCUAUCAGAUUUGAAAGGGAAAGUAUGUACAUAUGUAUUUCUGUGUUUAUGUGUAGGCUCACUUAUAUUUAUUUGAUGAAGAGAUGGUUCAAGAUUUUCCAGUGGCUUUCUUAAGGAGAAAUCCCUGGGAGCCAAAGAAAUUGACAACUAUGCAGAGCGCACUGGGGCACAGAUCUUCCACAGAAAAAUUUGCUUGUUUGAUGAUGCUUAAAAAGGGAGAAGUAUCAGUCAGAGAAACCAUCUGGUCUCAUCCGAAGUCUUUGUCCCAGGCCACAAGGCACUUCCAUUGGAUUCUGAUUCUAUCACGUAAGUGGGCUUAUUGUGGUGGUCUACUUCAGGAGUAAGGAAGAAGAAAUAGUGUUGGGCAAGCAGGUCCGUUGGAGCUGGAAGGAAGAAUGCAUGCAGAUCAUAUGGAGAAUAGUUCCUUUUCCUGAUGAGCCCAGGGGCUCUGGGACUCUUAGUAAGAAGUUAAUAUUAUUCUCUGACAUGUCUUUUCACAUUGGCUCCUGAAAUCUUGAAAACCUUAGUGAGCAUUUAGUAAAAAAAAAUUAGUGUGGGUUUAUGAAAGGGAGCUGGAUUUGAAGUUAGGAGAUGACUUGGCUUUAGAUCCUAGUUCUUAUAUUUAUUAACUGGAUAACUGUGUGCGAAUUGAGCUUCAGUUUCUUUGUAAAAUGAAGAAGAUAGAAUCACGAACCUUUUAGAUUUGAAAUGUAUCAUAGGAUCAUAGGUCUAUAUUUGGAAGGGGCCUUAAGUCAUUUAGUCCAAUUUUCUAAGUUUAUAGAUGAGAAAUCUGAGACUCGGGGAAGUUCAAUGUUGUUGUUCGGCCUUCAUUUUUGAAGAUGAUCAAUAACAUUACAGGUGAUGUUUUAAUUCAUGCAUGAACUGGAUAUAAGUGAAGCAAAGUUGCACAAAGUUGUCAGCCUCAUUCUCUCCUCCAAUCAUAGAAGUCCAGUGGCAAAACAAAAGUCAGGGUGACUGUCGAUGACCUUGGGAUGCAGUGGAUGACCUUGAUGUCUUUGAUAUUACCCAAACUCUAAGUGAUCAUCUGCUUUCAUGGCCUUUGGAACAUUUUUUCUCAUCUGUCCAUUUCAUGUGGAGGAGUCUUUACAUGUUUGGGAUAGACAUCCACUAACUCACCAAUGAAUUUGAGGUCCAUCAGUUACUCGGUUUAACCAAGGUGAUCUUACCAGGAUGUGGCCAUUGCACAUGCCAUAGCUUCUUGAAGCCAUAAGUAGGAGUCAGGAAAUUUCAGUAAUUUGUCAUAUAAGUAGUAAGUUGUCAGAGCUGGGAGUUGAACUCAGGUCCUGAGACUCCAAUUUCAAAACUUAUUCAUACUAACCUGGAUCUUAGACAUCGCUAGUCCAAACCUCUCAUUUUAUGGGUAAGGAAAAUGAGGUUCAAGAUUUAUGACUCAUGUAAGUUCAGUAUUAGAGUCCAGAUGAGAAUCUGUUAUCUUGACUUAUAUCUAAUUCUCUUUCUCACAGUUCACAGAACUGCAAAGCUUUGUAAAAUGUAGAGUGCAUUCUGUAAAUGUCACUUAUCAUUUUGCCUUUUUGCCUUUCCUCAAAGAAGAAAAGUGAUUUGUCUAAGGUCACAAAUUGAGUCAGUGGCAAAAGCCAGGGUGGGAAUCACAGAACAUAGAGUUGUAGAAAUAGAAGGACAUGGAAGUUGUUGUGGAAAGAGAUGACCCUUGAAGAUCAUCUUUGCCAACUCCUUUUCAGAUCCAUGUUCUUAAUAUCAGACCAUGUUGCCUGUCAAAUAUGGCAACUGAGACAAACGUUUGGUUAUUUUCUCCCAGCUGGUCAGAGAACAUAACGGAUUCUAAAGGUACUGCUGGUUCUUUCUGAAAUCUGAGGAUUUGAUUCUUCAUUCACAAAGCACUUUUUCUUGCAGACCUCUCCUCCAAUCUCAUUACCCAUACUUCAAGCUCAAUAGGACAUUGGCUCUACUUUCCAUGCCCUGAAUUGGGUCCCAGUCUGGGGUGCCAUUAGAAACAGAGAACGGUAGAGCUAGGAGAUGGAGGGAGUCUUAAGGAUCAUUUAUUUCAAACCUUUUAUUUUGUAAAAUACCCCAACAGGGGAAGAUACUUAUACAGGGUCUCACAGCACCCAAAGUAGAGCCCAGGCCCUCAGACUCCUAGAACAAGUUCUUUCCGUUAUUCCAGGCUAUAUCCCCGUUGUUCACCAGUAGGAUGAAUCAAUAUAAUAAAAUAACACAGUGGAAAAUUCUCUGGAUUUUGAGUCAGAGGAAAUGGGUUCAGUUUCUCUGUCUGUAAUAUGAGAGUCAGACAAAAUGACCUCUAAGGUCUUUUUCAUGAAACAAAGCAAUUUGUCUGCAGGGAAAAGCCUUCUCUAAAUGUUCCUGAGAACAGCUCAGUAGUCCCCUUUAAAUGGAGAUGAUUAAUAGGAUCUUUCCUUUUCUCCUCUCACUUUUUCUUCCCAAGAUGUGACAAGAAGAACAAAAAAUCUGAGAGAUUCUGGCUGUGCCAUCAUCUAGUUUUGUGACUUUGGCAAUUUGCUGUUCUUUUCUUGUGAUUUCAGUUUCCCUAAAGUGAGGAAAACAAUGUUUGAAAGACCUAGAAGUUGAUAAAGGAAAAGUUUAGCAUACCCUGAAAGUGCUAUUAAAAUGGGAGUUAUUAUUUAUGAGCCACAAAGUGAGUGGUCAUUAAAUACUUCCAACCUUGAGGCCACUGAGAACAGAGUGAGGGAGGGGAGCCAGGUGACAGGCAGCAGGCCCUCAGCACCCCUCCUGGCUUGUAGCUGAGCUGGCUUAGGCCUGCAUGGCCAUAUAAGGGAAGGAACAUUGACUGAAGUGGGACUAGGCGGGGUGGGGGCUGGGAAGGCCUUGCUCAGGACAGGGAUGGAGAAAAUCCAGACAUCCACUGUUUAUUUUCUUCCUGUGCACUUCCUCCUGACUUAUGGGGCUUGGGUUAAAGACCCAGUGUCUCCCUGAGAGAGGCUGCUCCUCAUUUUUUAAAGGUUGGAGAUAGAAAGAAAGGUGUGUAUAUGUAUAUAGAUGUAGGGAAUUGGAAGAGUGGGGGGAAUUGAGAAGGCAUGCUGCUCCUCCUCCCAGUCUAUUACAAUCUUUUUUACAAAAACAGACCCAGGUUGAGACACAGGCUACCACCGAAUAGCAGAACAAUCAGGUAAGCUCUGUCUGCUGGGAAACCCUUGAUAUGAAUGGGGAGGGGAUGUCUGUGGCUAGAACAGGAACUUGGCAAGGUGGUUGGGGUAUGAGACUCAUCUCUCUGAGAAUAAUAGCAAUUGAAUAUAAGCUCCCUGAGAGCAGAGCCUUUCCUUUUGUCUUAGAUCCUAAAAUCUGGCACAGUGCCUGGCACCAAGUAGGUACUUCCUAAAUGCUUACUGAUUCACCAUUCCCAUUCCUGUAGCACUUCAUCAUGUGCCAAGCACUUCCCUAGAAGGGAGUUGGGGAUAUGUCCGGAAUGGAAAGAAACUUGGACUAGGAGAGAGAAACCUUGGGUCAGAAUUCUGCCUUUAACACUCACUAGCUGUGUGUCAGUCAGCAAGCAUUUGGUUCUCUGUUUUAUCUGAAAAAUGGGGUCAUUGUGAAGCAAGCACUUUAUAAAUGCUAAAGUGUUAUAGAAAGGUGAGUAUUUAUUGUCCCUGUUUUGUAAAAGGUGAAACUGAGGUUCAGAAAGAUGAAGUGUCUUGCUCAAAAUGAAGCAACUAGUAAGUGGCAGAGCUGGGACUAGAACCCAGACCUCUAUUCUAGAUCCAUUAUUCUUUCAAUUACUUUGCACUGUACCUCCAUUAAUUUUGUUUUUUAGAGGGAAAUGGGAAGUAGAUGACCAGGUCCACAGGAUUGAGAGCUUGUACAGGAUGGAGACAAGCACUAAAAGGCCCCCUCAAGUAACGGGAAAGGGGAGCCUCAAAGCUCAGACCUCAGAGUCUGUGAAGAUAUAAAAAGGAGGACUAGUCUAUAAUCAGUCAGUAUCUCUGACUCCUCAAGAACAGAUGCCAUAUUGUUCCUUCUCACUUGACCAAGGGAAAACUCUGUUAAAGUGGCAACUCCUGAUUCCCUGGAAUCUUGGAAGAGUCCUUUCUGGCCCUCAAUAUCCUUUUCUAUUAAAAGAAGAUAUUGGAUUAGUUGACCUCCAGGGACUAUUCUAGCUCUACUAUUCUAUGAUACCGUCUUAUUUGCAUAUGAUAUCGUCCUCUCUGCAUCAUGUAUACAUUGGUACAAAAUUGAAUUAUUAACAACUAUUACAUAGGGCUUAAGAAUGUAGACAGAAAGUACAGUGGGGUUAGAAAAGGGUAAUCAUGAGUCCUGUCUCAUGAAAGUUUUUUUCACAUUAUACGUUUGUAUUUCUCUGCUUUCUCCAUGUUUCCUCUUUCUGGUGUCUACAAGGGUCAUUUGGAAUGGACUCACCCAUCUGGUGCAUCCUGAUCUCCUUCCCCUCGUUUGUCUCCCAGCCCGAGGUGCAGUGCUGCAUCUCUGGUCAGUUGUGAGUCUGAGAUGAAGCACUGUAGCUCGGGAAGGGAGGAACUGUCCAGCUCAAGAGAAAGAAGUCGUCUCACUGGAAGCCUCUGUCUCUACCUAAGGCCAACAAGCCAACCUGGGUAAGUAGGGGCUAGGGAGAGAGGGAUAGGGAGAGUAGAACAAAGACCUGGGCACACAUCUCAUUUUAGAACUGGCAAUGUGAGAAAGCUCUCCCGUUCCUUAUGUCCAUAACUUUUUGAGUGAAGUCAACCUUGAAUGCAGCCCCACCACCAUAACCCAGGACACAAUUUAGGACCUGAGAAGGUGACUGAUUGAAAAAUUUUUGGGCUUCUUCUGGACAUUAAACACAUAAGAUGCUUCUUCCUAUUCAUUCUAUUGUUAAUAUGUUCAACCUUUCUACAAAUGUUGCCAGAGGCCUAUAGGUGUGAGGCCCUGUGUUUGGACCUGUUGGGGGAACAGAGAUGAGUCAUUUUUGUUCCCCAAAAGCUUGCAUUUUAGUAGAACUAGUGAGGAAAAUAGCUAUCAUAUAGAUUAGUAUGUGGAUACUGCAUGAAGAGACAGUGGGUAAGGGUAGAGAUAGGAACAUCCAAUGUCUGAAAUAUUAGCUACAUGUUUAGACAGCUCUUAGUAAUCUAGGCAGUUCUCUAUUACUACCAAUUACAGAAAAGAUGCUGACCUAUGCCUUGUCUUUAUCAAUGAAAUCACAAGUCCAGUCUCUAUUCCAUUAUGUAAAUGUCUUCAGACAUAAACAUCACAUUCAAAAGAGGCAAAGACCACUUCCUUCUGGGGACUUCAUGGAGGAAGUAUUAUUUGAAUAUUUCCUUGAAAGAUGCCAGAUAUUCUAUAGUCUAAAAUGAAUGGGGAAGACUUUGCAUGCUAAGUAAAGGAAUUGUGCAAAUGCAUCAAAGUGGAUAGAGUAAAGGCUUGCUUAAUGAAUAGUGAAAAAUUAUUCCAAAUCAGUGCAGCAUAGGAGAGCACAGAUUCGAAAGGUAAAGGAGGCCAGUUAUCAGGAAUGCUUAAAUCCUAAACUAAGGAGUUUAGAUUUUUUUUAUCUGUCCAAUAAAUACUGACUUUAUUCUUAGACAACGGGUAACCAUUGAAGAUUUCUGAGCAGGAGAGUGGCCUAGUGGUCUGGGUUUUGCGUUGGUCUCUUGAUGAGUGUAUAUAGAAUGGAUUGAAGGAAGAGGCACUGGAGAGAGGGAGGCCAAUAUGGAGGCCAAUUCAUUAAUGUAGGUGAGAAUUUUGACCUUGGAUUGGCCCUGGAGAAAAAUGUGAGAAACAUUAGGGAAGAAAACUGACAGAAUUAAUUUAGGGACUGAUUAAUUAGCAAUUCUCUUUUCCUCCUUGCCAUAGACAAAAUAGAUUUGGAGAUCUUAAGAAGGGUGGAGGAGAGAUCAGGAAGGUUUGCUACCAUUGAGAAAAUAGAAAAAUCAGAUGGAGGAACCAGUCUGAUGAAAAAGAUGAGUUUGAUACUGGAUGUGUUGAGUUUGAAGUACAGGAAUAAUAUUCAGGUAUAGAUGUCUAGUAUCUCUGGCAAAGUGAAAACUUUAAGCCAGAAUAAGAGAGAUAUCCUUUAUGAAUCAUGUCCCUACAGGUAGGGAGAGGGACUCUGAUGGUCAAAGCUACAGCUUCUGGAACUCCACCUGGAAAAUUCCUCAUAAAAUUUGUCAGUUUUGAAUUCCAAAAUAUCCUCUUUCCUCUGCUUCCCAAAGAACUAUCCCAUGUAACAAAGGGAAAAAAAGGAAGGGAAAAAUAAUCCAGUAAACCUAAUCAGCCAUCAACCAAGUCCAAUAUUAUGUGAACUGUACCACACCUAGAGCUUCCCAUUUCUUCAAAGAAGAAAGAUGCUUUCUCAUAGCUUUGAUUUUGGAAAAAGAGAUUAAAAAUCAUUAUCAUAAUAGAGCAUUCAAUUUUCAUUGUCGUUUUUGACACAUAUUGUGAAUUGUACAUUGUGUAUAUUAUUUUUCUAAUUCUGCUUGCUUCACUUUCAUGUAUAUUU